rfam:Hordeum vulgare subsp. vulgare, WGS project CAJW01000000 data, contig: morex_contig_57760
CUAGUACUCUAUCCGUCCGAAAAUAUUUGUCGGACAAGUGGAUGUAUCUAAACGUAUUUUAGUUCUAGAUACAUCCAUUUUUAUCAAUUUUUGUGAUAAGUAUUUUCGGACGAAGAGAGUAGGUU